AAAAAAAAAAAGAAAAAAAAAAAGAAGAAGAGAUAUUCGAUUUCACAUAAGAGACGUGACGUGUCAGUGCAGGGUUGGUGAAGAGUUAUAUUGAGAGCAAAAAAAUUUUUUUCCGUGUUCUUUCCCUUCCUCUCUCUCUCGCUCUCGCUCUCUGUCGCCAAUCUCUCAAUUAUUUUGUUGGCCCGAUUAAACUUGGACGAUAUUGUAUAUGAGGAUAUUGAAUUCGGAGUCGAAUCAAUCGGGGGAGAUUGAAUCGAUUGAAAUCAGAGGAGAUAGAAUCGGAGAAGCUUGAACCUAUUUCUCAUGGUCGCUGAAAUCCUCAAAGAUCGUCCAUCUUGGCUCCGUGGUUGUCGAUGUGUGGAUACUCUGAGUGUGAUUGGCUCCGUGAUUGUCAAUAAGCAAAAGAAGAUAGAGUCUUCUUACCGUAUAAUGAGACAGAACCCUGCAAAAAUCUGAAGUUGGAAUCGACAAUUUGUUUAACAGAGGCUUGUAUGGAUGAAGAAAGUGUAGUCCCAGUACCAGCCAUGCUUCCAUGACAAUGCAGCAAAAAAACCUUGAAGAGCGUUGAAGUAUGACUCCAUACUUCAGUGCUUCAGCUUGUGGAGGUUCUCCAGUUCAUAUCAUUCCCAUUAUUAAUGGAAUUGUGUCUAAUGUGAUGCUUCGGCAAUCUGUAUUCUCUCAGCUACAUGAGUUGUGUCUAAUGUGAUGCUUCGCCAAUCUAUGCGCCUGUUGAUACGGCAUCAUUUGUGAUCUAUGCGCCUGUUGAUACGGCAUCAAUAGAGGGUGUUCUCAAUGCAGGUACAGACCCUGACUAUGUGGCUCUCCUGCCUUCCGGUUUUGCUAUUCUGCCGGAUGGUAUGGGUGAUCAGCCUGGAGGAAACGGAGGAGGAUCACUCCUGACCGUUUCCUUGCAGAUGCUGGUUGAAGAAGUUCCUUUGGGUAAGCUGAGUACUAGCUCUGUUAAAUCCGUUGAGAAACUGAUUCGUGCAACCGUGAUGAGGAUCAAAGAUUUGUUUCCUUUACAUAUUGCAACACCCUCAACUCGGAAAGUAAGCUAAAUGGAAGAUUGAAUCAAGGAAGAAAGAGGGAGACUGGUUGUGUGGAAGAUCGGUGGAGAGCUUCAAAAGGGGAGGAGUCAAGAACGAACCCCAAAGAGAUUUUUUCUUUAUGAGGUUCCGGAUUUUACUUGCCCUGAAAUAUAUUCAGGAUUGGUGACGUGGACUAAGGGUGGAGAUGACGUGAUUCUUCAGGAAUAACAUUUGUUUGUUGAUUUUAUCCCAAGUCUACAAGGUAAUACUAGCAUUUCUCUUAUGUUGCAUCUCUUAUAGUAAUUUUAAAAACUUUUAGCUAUAAAUUGGGAUUGCUGACUAAUGAAGAGACUUUUGUUCUUGCUGUAACUCACACAUUUUUA